UACAGAGGUGGCAAGCGUUGUUCGGAAUUACUGGGCGUAAAGGGCGCGUAGGCGGCCUACUAAGUCGGACGUGAAAUCCCUCGGCUCAACCGGGGAACUGCGUCCGAUACUGGUGGGCUUGAAUCCGGGAGAGGGAUGUGGAAUUCCAGGUGUAGCGGUGAAAUGCGUAGAUAUCUGGAGGAACACCGGUGGCGAAGGCGGCAUCCUGGACCGGUAUUGACGCUGAUGCGCGAAAGCCAGGGGAGCAAACGGG
rnacentral:rRNA from 1 species